UGAUACGGUGACUCGCUCGCUGAGCUA
rnacentral:sRNA from 1 species